rnacentral:tRNA from 1 species
GACCGGGUGGCGGAAUGGCAGACGCGCGAGUUCGAGAAGCUCGUGCCCAAGAUGGGCGUGGGAGUUCGACUCUCCCCUCGGUCA